rnacentral:SRP_RNA from 1 species
GCCAGGCGUGGUGGUGCACGCCUGUAAUCCCAGCUACUCAGGAGGCUGAGGCAGGAGAAUCACUUGAACCCAGGAGGCAGAGGUUGUAGUGAGCCGAGAUUGUGCCACUGCACUCCACUCCAGCCUGGGUGACAGAGUGAGACUCUGUCUCAA